UUUUCUUCUUUAUUCUUUUUCAGUAGUUUUUUCCUUUAAUUAUCUAUUUUUGUUUUUUUUUUAAAAAAUCCUUUAUUCCCCACUUUUUUCUUUGGGCAGAGUAUUGAAUUUAUCUUUUGUUUGUUUUUUGUUUUGUUUGUGUUUUGUAAUGAUAUAGUACAAUAUAGUAAUUUAAUGCUAGAAUUGUACUAUGCUAAUAAUAUAAUGUAUUGUAUGUGAAUGUAAUUUUUAAGCCACUCUGAGUCCCCUUUGGGCGGCAUAUAAAUGUAAAUAAAUAAAUAAAUAAAAAUGUAUUAUUUUUAAAAAUUAAGAUGAUAAUGAUAGUAAAUUCCCCUGUAUCUCCCUCUAGCUAGAUUUCCCUUUAUUUUGUUAUUAUUUUUAUUUUUAUUACUUUGUUAAUUUGAUUUGAUUUGCAUUAUUUUAGUUCGAUUAUAUUAUUGGGUUAAUUUGAUUUAUAUAUAUUGAUUCUAUUUCCUUCCCUGAGUAUCUAUUCUUAUUUUUGUCAAUGUCUUAAUUGAUACAUUAAGUAUCUGAGUGUAUCUCUUAAUUUUGUUUGGUAUAUCUUGUUUCUUUCUUCUCUUUCUCUUCUUUUCUAUUUAUUUUCUUUCCUUUCCUUUAUUUUUUUGUUAUUUUUAUUAUUUUAUAUUAUUUUAUUUUACAUUAUAUUAUUAUUUUUAUUUUAUUAUUAUUAUUAUUAUUAUUAUUAUUAUUAUUAUUAUUAUUUAUUUUAAUUGUUUUUAUUAUUUUAUUUUGUGUUUAAUCCAAAUUCUUUGCUUCCUGCACUAAAGGGGGGAAACAGUUAAUUGUUCGGGUCCAAUCUUGGUUGUUGUUUUUUUUGUCUCUCCGUGAUUUAAAUUUGCUUAUGUUGCAUUUGAUCUCCCCCCCCUCCAGUGAAACACCAAAGGAAAAAAGAAAAAAAGGAAAAAAAAGGAAAAAAAACAACUAUCACAGUAGUUAUGAUCAGAAAGGCAAAAGUUACUAAAGAAUUAUCAGCAAGGGGAACCUGAUGUGUUCUCUUCUGCUUUCCUUCUUCUUUUCUCUCCCUUCGUCUGUCAGUCCCUCGCCUCUGUGGACCAGUGUCUAUUUGUUAUCUCUUGCUUUCUAUAUCCUUGCUCCUAGUGUUGUAAUAUAGACUUGCUUCCGCCCUUACUGUGUCCUGGUCUCCAACGUCACCCAAACACCGUUGUGGCCUCGCUGUGUCACCGCGUCUCACCACACCACACACCUCACUCUGCAUCACCCUGCCUCUCCUCCUCUCGCAUAACCCUGCCGCUCUCCUUCUCCCACGUCUCUCUCACUCCUGUUUUGUAUUUUUUUGUAUUUACUUUCGGUUGGGCCCUCUGGUUCUCACUGUCUCCCUCACUAUCGCUGCUGCCCCCCUUCAGCUGCUGCACCCUAACCAUGCAGAUCUCCCAGACGGUUCUCCCUUCCUUGCGCCUCGUCCCUACGUUGUCGCCUCCAGCCUUCCAUCCAGCGGAGAAUUCCAGCCCUCCCUGGAUUUCCUCUUUUUCUGACCCUAUGAUCUUGGACAAUGCUGUAUCAACACUGGCUACAAAGGACAGUUCUGGGGUAGCAUUUCCCCAUUAACCUUGCUGUUGAAACAUGCUCGGUUUUGUUGUCGUUGUCUAAUCCUUCUCUAUUGCUCCUUUAGUAUGUGAUUCAAAGGUCACAAAUACAUGGGAAUGAUGCAGUGUGCCUUACAGAAGCCCCCUAAUAAUUCUACAGCCAUUUGUAUAAUGUCUACAGAUUAUCUGCAGUGUACUCUUAAUGUUGAAGUGACACAUUAAUCUCAGCUCAUAUUCCCUGUUGAUGGUCCUGAGUUCUGAGAUAUUUAUUAUUUUGAAGAGACUCUAGUUUGAUGAGUGGUGAUAGAGUACAAUUUUAUUUGUUUCUUUAAGGAACUGUGUUUACAUUGUUAUUUCUCCAACUAGUUCAAUAUUGUUCCUAGAAUAUAUUAUUCAGCUAAUUUGUGCAUAAUUUGUUGUAUUUCAUUAUUUUUAGAUAUAUUUGCUUCUACUUCUUCAUUACCCUUUUUCAUCGCUAUGACAUUAUAUGAAGUGAUUUUUCAGCCAAAUACAAGUCUACAAGGCCUUUUAGUAGCAUUGUGUCUACUAGGCAUGCCCGAUCAAUGAAAAAAAUGUUUCAAUUCUCGUUUCUAAAGUAGGGGGCGCUGGCGCUUCAAUAUAAAAAGUAUUUCUGAUUUUUUCACCCAAAAAAUUAGGAUAUUUCCAAAAAAUUGUAAUGAUUCUAAAUGUUUUUAAAAUGGCAGACGCGCAUGCGCAAUCACAAAGAAAAAGGAACCGGGGGGGGGGGGGGACUUUUACAGGGCUCUCCCACCCUCAUAUCUUGAGCUAUCCUCAUCAAAUUUGCAAUGCCCUUACAAGUUGUGCAAAGAUACUUUGAAAACUAGAAAUUCCCUUGCUAUAUUUGUAAACAAGAAGGACAUUGGAAAUCAAUGGUGUCUCUGGCUCUGUAAUCCCAGAAGCCUCAAUCCAAUGCCUUCCAUUAGAAAUGGACCAGUGACCACCACGCCAAGCAAUGCCCUGGCAAGGAGUGCAAAGAUACUUUGAAAACUAGAAAUUCCCUUGCUAAGAGAAAGAACCAUGUUAGGCUGAGCUAAGCUCCCAUUUAAGGUAGGUUGCAGAAACUAAAAAAAAUUAAAAAUAUAUAUUUAAAAACACGUUAAAAAAUUGGGGGGGGGGAUAACAAAACAUUAAGAGACAAUUAGAGAAUGGGCCAACAAUGGUUCGAAUUACAUUGCUGGUUACGCUGUGAGACAAUGUCUUGGAAUGCGUAUCAAAAAGCGAGAACAAUCCGAAAUAAUUCCGAUAUACGAUUCAAAACGAUUUUUUGGACAUGUCUAGUGUCUACAAUGUUUGAUCAUUAUUAGCUAUAAAGGAUAUAUCUAGGAUUGGCAUUUCUUUGGCAAACUCAGAGUUUCCGAUCUUCUCUACCUCUCUAUCCUCUUUGAAGUAAACUUCUUUAGUUCUUUCAUGACUUCCUUUCUUGCAUUCUUCUGUUGUUCUUUCCACUUCCGCUUCUCUUUAUGUUUUCUCCUUAUGCCCUCAUUUCCGUUCUCUGCCACUCUAUCUUUCCCCUGCAGGCCUGUUUGGUUCUGUUUUGUCACUUCCUUUCUUCUCCUUCAUUUCUACACCCUGCAGCCUUUUUUCUCAGGUUCUGUUGCGUCAGUUCUGGCCUCUCUUCUCUUCUUCUUCAACUGUAUUGUUGUUUCUUUCAUUUAACAAAGCUCUGGGAUAGACACAACAAUUUCUCCUCAAGAUCAGCCUGUUUAUUUAUCGCAUUUUAAUGGCAUCUUUCUUAAAUUCAUCACACUAGAAAGUUUCAGCCUCCCAAAUCUCUUUCCUUUUUUUUCCUUUUCAAAUCCCCCAGAUUGCCAUAUUCCGAUUCUGAUCUUGGUUUUAAUUCAAUUUUUUUGUAAGUCCCUUUAUAGUUUAACAGUCUCACUGUUUUCAGCCUCUUAUACUGCUGGGAUAAGCCUCUGAAUAGAUUUUUUUCAUGUCACAGUUUUGUUGAGCCAGUUCCUCGGCUCUCCUUUUUCUUUCUUUUGAAAAUGAGCACUGGCCAGCUGUUUUCUGAGGCUCCAGAUGAAGCUUCAGUUUGCCCUGUCACGAUCCAAUAUGCCCUGUGGAGGACACCUUAUCCGGGUCGUUCAGGCUUUGCUGUCCUUUCAACCUCAGUCCACCAAAAAAAGGGAGCUACUGCUCUACCCAAUUGCUCGACAGGGCUGACACUUCCGAGAGCUCUCAGCCACCUUAUGGCAUUCUGAGCUUGAUGUAUUUAGGGGCUUCUACAGCAGACUGGAGAGGUGUCCAUUGAAUCUCAAGGGAGGCUGGAACAUUGCAGGCUGUGAAGAGCAGGGGAUGAGUUCCCAGAGGAGAGGCUCCCAUUCUCAACAGAAAGUACUCAGGCUUUCCCGAGACUGGUAGGCUAAUUUGUCCACUUUAAAAUAUUCACCUAAUAUAUUUUUCCAGGUCAAAGUCUACCAGCAGAGACAAUACAGACUGACAAGAAACAUUCCUUUUUCCAGGUCACAUCAGUAUUUCUCUGCCAAUUGGCGUAUAUAUCCAAAAUACAGUUGAGCUAGAUUCUAGGAAACAAAGCUUCCAGGCUAAACCUUUGUGUAUUCAGACAGGCUUUAAAAAUGAAAUAGUUUCUCCUGCAACAAAUCCUUUAACCUGCCUUGUUCACCUUCCUGUUCAUUCAAAUUCCCCUCCUUCCAAGCUUUCUGCCUCUUGCCCCCAGCCCUUUAACUCAUUUCAGGGAGAGGAAAAUUAGGAGACAACUGUCUUAUGUGUUGAGUUCAACAGGCAUAUACUGCUAUCUCAACAAUCUCAUUUUAGGUAAUAUUACACCAUUAAAAGGGGCCCCUGGUGGCACAGUGUGUUAAAGCACUGAGCUGCUGAACUUGCGGACCAAAAGGUCCCAGGUUCAAAUCCCAGGAGUGGAAUGAGCGCCCGCUGUUAGCCCCAGCUCCUGUCAACCUAGCAGUUCGAAAACAUGCCAAUGUGAGUAGAUCAAUAGGUACCGCUCUGGCGGGAAGGUAACGGCGCUCCAUGCAGUCAUGCCGGCCAUAUGACCUUGAAGGUGUCUACAGACAACGCCGGCUCUUCGGCUUAGAAAUGGAGAUGAGCACCAACCCCCAGAGUCGGUCAUGACUGGACUUAACAUCAGGGGAAACCUUUACCUUUUUUUUUACACCAUUAAAAGGGGUGGGACUUAUUUCAGCUACCAAGAUGUUCAGGUGUCAUGUUCUCCUAUCUUUACAUCAGCCAAAUCUUCAUCCCAUUAUUUUCCACACUUCUACUGGCAUUAUUUCCUUUAUAAAAUAACAAUGACAUUGUCAUUGAAUAUCAGUAGCAUAACUGAAAUCUACUAUGUUCUGAUAUGAACAAAUGUGUGUUAAUCACAGAAUUUCCCUGUUCGAACAGAAUACAUACUCAAGCAAAUUGGUUUCCUUGGGUCCCAUGCCAGUAAAAGGUGGCAUAUAAAACAAUACAAUAAUAACUAAUUACAGGCCUACUUCUAUUAACAAAGCAUCUGACAAAGAAGCUCCUUUUUGAAAACUGUUUGUACAGUGACUGAAACCCAUUUUCACCUCCUCAUCAGUAUAGUUCAAAGUGUUUUGCUGUUGUUUUUUAAACAAAUAUGUAUAUAUGUAUAUAUACAUAAACCAAUACAAUACAAUACUACCUAACAUAUAUACAAUAUUCAUAUUUGGCUAUACUCUUCCACCCCUCCCAUUUUAGUGACCCUUGGGUUGAAGACAUUCAUAUAAAAUUCCAUUCUUCCUUCCUAUUACAUUGUUUUUCUGUUUUUCCUUCUGGCCUAAUAUUUAUUGUUUAUAAAUUCCCUUCACAGAUUCUAACAGAUUAAAUUAUGAAGCCUUCUAAAAAAAACUUUUUUACAAUGUUUAAAAAUGGCUCUUAGUCCUUGUUGAAGUUUUUUGUGUUUUUUCUUUGUUCAUCAUGUUAAUUUGUCCAUUUCUGCUAUUAUAAAUACUUUAACAAGUCAUUCUUCUAUUGUC